GAUGAAGAACGUAGCGAAAUGCGAUAAGUAGUGUGAAUUGCAGAAUUCAGUGAAUCAUCGAAUCUUUGAACGCACAUUGCGCCCCUUGGUAUUCCAUGGGGCAUGCCUGUUCGAGCGUCAUUUGUACCCUCAAGCUUUGCUUGGUGUUGGGCGUCUUGUCGUAUUACGACUCGCCUUAAAUACAUUGGCAGCCGGCACUUUGGCCUAGGAGCGCAGCACAUUUUGCGAUCGUAGCCCGUUGUACUGCGUCCAUCAAGAACAUUUACCACGUUUGACCUCGGAUCAGGUAGGGAUACCCGCUGAACUUAAGCAUAUCAUUAAGCGGAGGA
rnacentral:misc_RNA from 1 species